GAUGAAGAACGUAGCGAAAUGCGAUACUUGGUGUGAAUUGCAGAAUCCCGUGAACCAUCGAGUCUUUGAACGCAAGUUGCGCCCGAAGCCAUUAGGCCGAGGGCACGCCUGCCUGGGCGUCACACGUCGUUGCCCCCCCCAUCUACUCCUUCGGGAUUGCGGGGGGCGGAUGAUGGCCUCCCGUGCGCCUCGCCGCGCGGUUGGCAUAAAUGCCAAGUCCUCGGCGACGCACGCCACGACAAUCGGUGGUUGCGAAACCUCGGUUGCCCGUCGUGUGCGGUCGUCGCGCAUCGAGGGCUCGAAAAAAUUGCCGGGUCUCGGCUCGGCUUUCAACGCGACCCCAGGUCAGGCGGGGUUACCCGCUGAAUUUAAGCAUAUCAAUAAGCGGAGGA
rnacentral:misc_RNA from 1 species